rnacentral:rRNA from 1 species
GACGAACGCUGGCGGCGUGCUUAACACAUGCAAGUCGAACGGAAAGGCCCUGCUUUUGUGGGGUGCUCGAGUGGCGAACGGGUGAGUAACACGUGAGUAACCUGCCCUUGACUUUGGGAUAACUUCAGGAAACUGGGGCUAAUAUCGGAUAGGAGCUCCUGCUGCAUGGUGGGGGUUGGAAAGUUUCGGCGGUUGGGGAUGGACUCGCGGCUUAUCAGCUUGUUGGUGGGGUAGUGGCUUACCAAGGCUUUGACGGGUCGCCGGCCUGAGAGGGUGACCGGCCACAUUGGGACUGAGGUGCGGCCCAGACGCCUACGGGGGGCAGCAGUGGGGAAUAUUGCACAAGGGGCGGAAGCCUGAUGCAGCAACGCCGCGGGGGGGAUGACGGCUUUGGGGUUGAAAACCGCUUUCGCCUGUAACGAAGCGUGAGUGACGGUAAUGAGUAAAGAAGCACCGGCUAACUACGUG